GGGACCCGGCCUGCAACCCAGGCAUGUGACCUGACCGGGAAUCAAACUGGCAAUGCUUUGCUUUGCUGCAGGCUGGCACUCACUCCGCUGAGCCAUACCAGCCAUGGCAUUUCUUCAUAUAAUUCUUUGCUCCACUGUCCCUCCACUUUCUACAAAGGUACCCAAAAAUUUCAGCAGCAUCAAGAAGAUAAAUUCUAAGACAUAGGAUGCUGGUCACUUUAUGGACCAAAACGUGACUCUUUCCAAGCCCUGGCUGAUGAUCUACAGGGAGAAACCCUGAGGAAGUUCUGAGGGUUUUGCUGGAUUAGAUCAAUGGGCUUCUAGGACACCCAUUAGCAGAAAUGGUAGAAAACAAUUUGAUCCCUCAACUUUUUCUGGCAUACCCUGGCCAAUGUUAUAUUUUCUAGUUAUAAAGUCCUUUGCCUUAAUCUUUCUGUGUCCUUCCCUUUAGAGAUAGUAUUUAAUGUAAUUUAUCAGAAAGGUGGAGCAAAGAUAAAUCCGGAUAGGAAAUCCCAGUUCUCCACUUACUGGUUCUGUGAUUAGAGGUGCAUUACCUACCAUCCCAGAGCCGUGAUUUCCCCAUCUGAAUGAACAAAGUGCUAAUGCCUACCUUGGAGGAAGGGUCAAAGGGGAUCCAAUAAUAACCACCCCCCAGACUCAAUUCUCCUUCCCCAUUCUCAUUUGUAAAGCAGGUGACGCAGUUGUUACUAGGGGUAGACAGAGAAAGGGAAAUAAAAUCUGAGAAUCAUUCCAAUAGGGUUGCUUCACUCUUAAUGUUUAUUUACAACCAAGACUCCAAAAUUUUUGUUAGACCGCAGGAAAAUGACAAUAUGAAGACAGCACUUCCAUAUCAUUCCCUGAAACAAAAAGCCUCUGAGUAAGGCCAUCCAGCUAAAGAUCCAAGAGAAACAUCCAAUAUGUAUUAAACAAUCGCUGGGGAAGCACAGCUGCCCAGGACUCUUUGCAUAUGGGAGGCAUGUUGGUCUGCAAGGGGUUUACAAGAAGAAACCAACACCAGAGAGAGAGGCUCCCCCUUCGCUGCUGAAUGAAGUGAAAGGGAGGGACCGUCCUUAAAAUAAACACUAAUAAUCUACUGACCAGGACAACCUAAGGGAUUUGACCAACUUAAGGGAUUUUAAGAAAACUGAAUGAACUGCUGCUACACAAUAGCAUUUAACACAGCAUUUGGUUGGUUGUAAAUGAUUUAGAAGUGGGUCAAAACUUUUGGUUUAAUGAGAGUGGCAGGUAACAAAAGAUGAAGUCACCUAUGAAAAGGCAUCCAUGGCAUCAGAAAACUCACUCCCCAUCCCCAAGCCCUAAGACAAAAAUACAGUCUCUGCCAGAAAGUGCAGUUUACAUUGGGAACACGUUUACAAUGGCUGACACCACCAGUCUGAGAAAGGAUUACGUUCAGUGUAAAUAAGUUAGAUUUCAGAAGUUGAGUUCCUCUACCCAAGCUGCUCCUUAUUAAUUGAUACAACCCUAAGACAUCUACUAAAAAAAUACCUUGUGAGCCACAUACCAUCUUUAUGGAGAUCAUUAAUGUUUCCCCCAUAACAGUGCAGUUACUGGUCCCAUUAUUUUUCUUGAUCACCUUCAUGCUCCUGACCUGUGACACCAGCUUAUCCACAGUUCUGGCUUGUGUUAAAAUUACCCUCAGAUCCCAUUAGUCCCCCUUUCUCCAAAUGACAGUCACUCUAUGCACCCCACAAAACCACAAAGCUGUCUUCCUUCCCUCUCUCCUCUCCCUUUCCAGUGUGAGAUGCACAAAGUAGACUAGAAUAAAAGGCUUAAGGGAGAAGAAGUCUUAAAAACUGCCUAAAAAUUGGCCUUUGAAGCCUUGCUCCAUUCAUUAAUUCAUUUGCUCUCUCACUCAUUCAUUCAACAAACAGCUUUUGAAUGCCUACUCAGCUCCAGGCAUGAAGCAAGACGUUCAGGACGUUCAGGGUACAGAGAAGAAUAAGGCCUAUCUCUGCAGGAACGCACACAGAUGAACAGAUGACUAAGAAGGAUGGCUGGGCUCAGUGGGAGGAGAUAGGAGGGCACCUCGCUCACCCAAAAAGAGUCAAAAGAAGAAGCUUCUCUAAGCAAGGUCUAGAAGGAUUAGUAGGACUUGCCUGGGAGAUGAAAAGGUGGAAGGCACAGGGAAACUCCAAUUACAGAGCAGAGACUCACUUGGUUUUGCUCUUUGGUCUAUCCCCAGCAACAGCCCAGAGCCUGCCAUGCAACAAUUAUUCCAUGCACAGUAAGUGAAUGAAUCAUUGGCACAAAGAAAUUCCUACAAGAACCUAAUCACUCAUAGGCCAUCAGUCCCUUAGCAAGAGAGAGGGUGACCCAUUUCCAUUCCUUUUACAGGCCUCUUGCACAGAAAGCGCCUCAUGCUGGCCUCUCUAAAGGGUCUCUAAUUCCACUUCUGUCAUAUGUCACCUCAUCUUUGCUUCCAAUUGCCUGUCAUGAAGAGACAGAAAGAAGGGAAAGAAAAUGCUCCUAAAUGAUAAAAUCUGCAUGUGACCUCUUCCAAUGACCAUAAUGCCUACUAAAAUAACAGUGCAUGGGGGCAUCCAUACAUUUAGCAAGGAUUUCUCAACCUUGGUACUACUGAUACUUUGUUUUCAACAAAGGUCUGUCCUGUACAUUGUUAGUUGCUUAGCAAGAUCUCUGACCUCUGACCACUGGAUGCCAGGAGAAACCCCCAGGUGUGGCAAUUAAAAUGUCUCCAGACACAGACGACCAUCCCCAGGUGGGGCAGUUGAAAUCACUCUCAACUGAGAACCACUAAAGAUGAUAGAGCCCUUGGUAAUCCAUGCCUGUGGGGUCUCCAACAGACAGAUGUGCAACCUCAGAAGAUGAUCACAGAUCCCCAGCAUUGAACAUGACCUUGGAGCUUGUCCAGCCCAACUCAGAUUUUGCCUGCAUAGAAAAUGAAGCCCAGAGAGGGGAAGUGGCUGCCUGAAGUCCAAGCCACCCAUGGUGGCUGAGUCAGCCCCAGGCCUCUUGCCACUCGGACCAGAAUAUUUCCAUCACACAAUAUUUCCAUAGGAUAUUCUUUUCUGAGUCAUUUUAAAAAAGAGUAAAACUUAACAUCGACUUAGAAUAAUAAAGUUACAAUAAUAAUAAAUAACAAUAACAUCUAAUACUCACUUAGUAAUUACAAUACAUCAGACACUUUUAUAAGAACCCUUUUUGCAUUUUUCUCAUAACUUUUGACAUAACAGUCACAGAAGUCCUGCAAGGUACAUAUUCCUGGCUCCAUUUUUAUAAACGAGGGGCAGAAGCUAAAGGCUAAAAUACAUUAAAGGCAAAACAAAAAAAAAUGAAAAAUGAAAAACCCCUGCCUCUUGUCCCAGAG